UAGUGAAGUCAACUAUCAUUGCAUCUAUAAAGAACCAAUCGAAUUAAUUGCAACCAAUUUCUUACCUUUCUCAUUCAACUCUUAAUAUCACUUGUUCUUGAGAUCAUGGCUGCAGCAGUCGUAGGUGGUGCGUUCCUCUCUGCCUUCCUUGAUGUUGUUUUUGAAAGGCUGGCUUCACCUGAGGUUGUCAACUUUAUCCGUGGAAACAAGCUUCACAACAAGUCUUGCUUUUAUGUUGACGAUAGAUGGAUUUAGUAACCAAGGAUGAUCACCUGGAGACACAACUUCUAACCAGCUAGACAAACAUUAUACAAUUUUAUGGUAGCAAAAAAAAUGGAGACCGAAUCUCUUAUAUAUGGAACGUGUCCAUCCCACUUCAACUGAGGAAUGCAUUAAUGUACUGAACAAUGCUCUCAUAGUUGAAUAUGUUGCAAUAAUACAUCACUUAGUAUAGGGAAAAGAAGAAGUUAAAGUGAAAAGAACAAAAAAGAAUACACUUUAAAUUAUUUUUAUUGGUUUUAAAAAUUGACUAUACAAAAUCAUCUUAAUUUAGAAAGGUACCAUAGUAAUUUCUUUUUUAAUAUAAUUAUGAUAAAAGUUAACAAAUUUAUCAUUGAUUAAAUGGUAAUGUAAAAAUAUUACAGUAAGCACGCACACUAUUUGUGUUUAUAAAUAAGGUUUAA